GGGGGUCUAGCUCAUAAGGUAGAGCGCUUGCUUCGCAUGCGAGAGGCACGGGGUUCGAUUCCCCGGACCUCCA
rnacentral:tRNA from 1 species